rnacentral:rRNA from 1 species
UACGAAGGGGGCUAGCGUUGUUCGGAAUCACUGGGCGUAAAGCGCACGUAGGCGGAUCUUUAAGUCAGGGGUGAAAUCCCGAGGCUCAACCUCGGAACUGCCUUUGAUACUGGGGAUCUCGAGUCCGGGAGAGGUGAGUGGAACUGCGAGUGUAGAGGUGAAAUUCGUAGAUAUUCGCAAGAACACCAGUGGCGAAGGCGGCUCACUGGCCCGGAACUGACGCUGAGGUGCGAAAGCGUGGGGAGCAAACGGGG